UACGUACGAGGCGAGCGUUAUCCGGAAUUACUGGGCGUAAAGCGCGCGCAGGCGGACCAUUAAGUUGGGCGUGAAAUCUCCCGGCCUAACUGGGAGGGGUCGCCCAAGACUGGUGGUCUUGAGGACAGCAGAGGUGGGUGGAAUUCCUGGUGUAGUGGUGAAAUGCGUAGAGAUCAGGAGGAACACCGGUGGCGAAGGCGGCCCACUGGGCUGUCACUGAGCUGAGGCGCGAAAGCUCGGGGAGCGAACGGG
rnacentral:rRNA from 1 species